AGUCGAGCGGUAAGGCCCUUCGGGGUACACGAGCGGCGAACGGGUGAGUAACACGUGGGUGAUCUGCCCUGUACUUCGGGAUAAGCCUGGGAAACUGGGUCUAAUACCGGAUAUGACCUUACAUCGCAUGGUGUUUGGUGGAAAGAUUUAUCGGUACAGGAUGGGCCCGCGGCCUAUCAGCUUGUUGGUGGGGUAAUGGCCUACCAAGGCGACGACGGGUAGCCGGCCUGAGAGGGCGACCGGCCACACUGGGACUGAGACACGGCCCAGACUCCUACGGGAGGCAGCAGUGGGGAAUAUUGCACAAUGGGCGAAAGCCUGAUGCAGCGACGCCGCGUGAGGGAUGACGGCCUUCGGGUUGUAAACCUCUUUCGACAGGGACGAAGCGCAAGUGACGGUACCUGUAGAAGAAGCACCGGCCAACUACGUGCCAGCAGCCGCGGUAAUACGUAGGGUGCGAGCGUUGUCCGGAAUUACUGGGCGUAAAGAGCUUGUAGGCGGUUUGUCGCGUCGUCCGUGAAAACUUGGGGCUCAACCCCAAGCUUGCGGGCGAUACGGGCAGACUUGAGUACUGCAGGGGAGACUGGAAUUCCUGGUGUAGCGGUGAAAUGCGCAGAUAUCAGGAGGAACACCGGUGGCGAAGGCGGGUCUCUGGGCAGUAACUGACGCUGAGAAGCGAAAGCGUGGGUAGCGAACAGGAUUAGAUACCCUGGUAGUCCACGCCGUAAACGGUGGGCGCUAGGUGUGGGUUU
rnacentral:rRNA from 1 species